UAAGUGGGUAAGACCUUGGAAGGGAGUUU
rnacentral:piRNA from 1 species